rnacentral:rRNA from 1 species
AUUGAACGCUGGCGGCAUGCCUUACACAUGCAAGUCGAACGGUAACAGGUCUCCGGAUGCUGACGAGUGGCGAACGGGUGAGUAAUACAUCGGAACGUGCCUAGUAGUGGGGGAUAACUACUCGAAAGAGUGGCUAAUACCGCAUGAGAUCUACGGAUGAAAGCAGGGGAUCGCAAGAACUUGUGCUACUAGAGCGGCCGAUGGCAGAUUAGGUAGUUGGUGGGAUAAAAGCUUACCAAGCCGACGAUCUGUAGCUGGUCUGAGAGGACGAUCAGCCACACUGGGACUGAGACACGGCCCAGACUCCUACGGGAGGCAGCAGUGGGGAAUUUUGGACAAUGGGCGCAAGCCUGAUCCAGCAAUGCCGCGUGCAGGAUGAAGGCCUUCGGGUUGUAAACUGCUUUUGUACGGAACGAAAAGCCCUGGGUUAAUACCCUGGGGUCAUGACGGUACCGUAAGAAUAAGCACCGGCUAACUCCGGGCCAGCCGCCGCCGUAACAC